CUGAACUGCUUCCAGAUCUGGUGCAUAUGGUGCAUUUCUUCUCCAGGGGCGAAACCCUGAGAUGGAGGAAUGUAACUGGGAAACUCAGCCUAAUCCCUCCUGCCGGGAAGUGCACCCCUGAUUACCCCACAGGAUUGGCCGCUAUCUGCCUCUCCUCCUCCGGCGGGGCUUCGCACCCGAUCGCUCAUUUCUCCCGUCUCCCUUUCCUUAGCGCCGCUACUUCCAUAAGGAUAUAUUGCCUCGUUUAGGCAGGCGAGCUCAAAGCGAGUGCCAGCAGAGCAGAGGUGGCAGACGUGCAGAUGGAUGGCAGGACCGUGGCACUGCCACCUUGGAUCCUUUCACACUGCUGUGGAACAGCAGGCUCAGGCCUGGAGAAGUUCCUACUCCACCUAAUCUUAACCAUCGGCAAUUUUUAGAAAUUAGACCUUCUCUUCUAGAAACUAAAAAGAGAAGAGGCAGUCCAGCAAAUCGUAUUCAUGAAAAAUUCCCCAAACCCUUCUAGUCAGUGGGAGUUUCACACCAAGAAAGGCCACAAGAUGAGUGAUCCUUGUGCUGGAUCCAGUCAGUAUGAUGGGAAAACUACUUGACUGAAAAACAGAAGGGGCAAGACUCAAGCAUGGGGAGGAAGAGGUCUACUUCUGGACCAGGAGACUGCUGUGAAGAGAGGAACUCACACACAGCUGGAGGCUUCAGGAAAUGCGCAAUGGCUUCGUUCCCUGUCUUGGAGCAAGAGACGUUGUUCCGGAACGGUACCUGGAGCUAUCGCAUUCCAGCCCUGCUCUACCUGCCCCGGUUCAGCAUGAUCCUGGCGUUUGCUGAGGAGCGGGAGGAUGUGGUGGAUGAACACGCCAAGCUCAUAGCGAUGCGCAGGGGCGUGUACGACCCCAGCACGCACCAC